rnacentral:rRNA from 1 species
AACCCCUAUUGUUAGUUGCCAUCAUUCAGUUGGGCACUCUAGCGAGACUGCCGGUAAUAAACCGGAGGAAGGUGGGGAUGACGUCAAAUCAUCAUGCCCCUUAUGACCUAGGCUACACACGUGCUACAAUGGUUGGUACAACGAGUUGCGAGUCGGUGACGGCGAGCUAAUCUCUUAAAGCCAAUCUCAGUUCGGAUUGUAGGCUGCAACUCGCCUACAUGAAGUCGGAAUCGCUAGUAAUCGCGGAUCAGCACGCCGCGGUCGAAUACGUUCCCGGGCCUU